CUUUAUAGUCUUAGUUUCAGAAAUACUAUCCCAUCUUCUCUUUUCAAUAAUUAAAUAUUUAUCUCACAACUUUUCACUUUCACCAAAUAACUAUUAUUACUAGCACGUUCAUACUGCAGAACAAUGCCGUGGACCAAGACCAAAGAGGAGCAGCAAAUGGCAUAGCUAUGACUGCAAUGUCACUUUUUAAAGUUGUUGGUCCAGCUGCUGGAGGAGCAGUCUUUUCUUGGGCACAAUGGCGUCAGGUUGCUGCCUUCCUUCCAGGUAA